AGGUAGCAGAAAAUUCCUCUUGAAUUGAAACGACAACAAAAGCCCACAUUUAGCCAAUCAAAGAAAGCCAACAGAUGUCUCUCGGGCCCACACAGAAGAAUCUGCCUUUUCUUCACCAGCACAACCCAAGAUUUACUCAUCUCACAGGCUCUUACUAUCCAGUGGGGAAUCCUUUCAGCAAGUUCUCCAUAAUGAUAAAGCUGGAUCUGAGGCUUUUUCUGGUCUUCUAAACCUCCUGGGAUCUGGUAAGCCACAUAGAAAGGGUUUUUCCAACUACCCAAACUCCCCAUUCCAGUUCUUGGGGCAU